rnacentral:rRNA from 1 species
UACGUAGGGGGCUAGCGUUGUUCGGAUUUACUGGGCGUAAAGCGCACGUAGGCGGAUUCUUAAGUCAGUGGUGAAAUCCCGAGGCUCAACCUCGGAACUGCCUUUGAUACUGGGGAUCUUGAGUUCGGGAGAGGUGAGUGGAAUUGCGAGUGUAGAGGUGAAAUUCGUAGAUAUUCGCAAGAACACCAGUGGCGAAGGCGGCUCACUGGCCCGAUACUGACGCUGAGGUGCGAAAGCGUGGGGAGCAAACAGG